GAUGAACGCUGGCGGCGUGCCUAAUACAUGCAAGUCGAGCGAACGGACGAGAAGCUUGCUUCUCUGAUGUUAGCGGCGGACGGGUGAGUAACACGUGGAUAACCUACCUAUAAGACUGGGAUAACUUCGGGAAACCGGAGCUAAUACCGGAUAAUAUUUUGAACCGCAUGGUUCAAAAGUGAAAGACGGUCUUGCUGUCACUUAUAGAUGGAUCCGCGCUGCAUUAGCUAGUUGGUAAGGUAACGGCUUACCAAGGCAACGAUGCAUAGCCGACCUGAGAGGGUGAUCGGCCACACUGGAACUGAGACACGGUCCAGACUCCUACGGGAGGCAGCAGUAGGGAAUCUUCCGCAAUGGGCGAAAGCCUGACGGAGCAACGCCGCGUGAGUGAUGAAGGUCUACGGAUCGUAAAACUCUGUUAUUAGGGAAGAACAUAUGUGUAAGUAACUGUGCACAUCUUGACGGUACCUAAUCAGAAAGGCACGGCUAACUACGUG
rnacentral:rRNA from 1 species